UACAGAGGGGGCAAGCGUUGUUCGGAAUUACUGGGCGUAAAGGGCGCGUAGGCUGCCUGUUAAGUCGAACGUGAAAUCCCCGGGCUCAACCCGGGAACUGCGUCCGAUACUGGCAGGCUUGAAUCCGGGAGAGGGAUGUGGAAUUCCAGGUGUAGCGGUGAAAUGCGUAGAUAUCUGGAGGAACACCGGUGGCGAAGGCGACAUCCUGGACCGGUAUUGACGCUGAGGCGCGAAAGCCAGGGGAGCAAACAGG
rnacentral:rRNA from 1 species